rnacentral:rRNA from 1 species
AUGACGGAAAUCAUCAGAAGUAUGUAUUCAGCCUCAUCAAGGUUCAUCAAUCCGAAGUCCACUUCACAGUUUCAUGGACCGGAGAAGAUUAGACAUUUGUGCACACAGCAAGAGAAGCACGGGCACGAAGGCGGCAUUCUUUCCUGUGGACUGGCAAAUAAAGAGUUUACUGGCUUCGAGCGGCUGUAUGUAUUGAAACCAAAGAAGAGACUCUUCUUGCAGCAUGCCUUAGUCCUAGUACAUUGUAGUCUGUACAUUUUCAAGGGUUUUUUCAGAGUCAGCCCGUUUUCUGUUGCUAUAGUUCGCAAGCAUGCUCUGUUGCAUCGAACAGUGAGGACGAUAUCUUAUUUGUUAGUACUAAAUUGCUUAACGGUUAAGCAGGAUUUGAUUACGAGAAAAUACUUGUAUCUACCCAGGCUUGUCAAAGAACUUGACCAGCUGGAAACUUACUUUACCAUCUGA